GCCCGUGAUUUGUUUUUAACGGCCGCAGUAUUUUGACUGUGCAAAGGUAGCAUAAUCAUUAGUUUUUUAAUUGAAAGCUAGAAUGAAAGGUUUGAUAAGAGAAAUUCUGUCUCAAGUUUAAUUGUUUUUGAAUUUUAUUUUUAAGUGAAAAAGCUUAAAUUUUUUAAAAAGACGAGAAGACCCUAUAGAGUUUUAUAUUUUAUUAUGAAAUAAGAAUUAGUAUUGUUUUUUUUUUGUGAAAGGAAUAUUUGAUUGGGGUGAUUGGAAAAUUUAAUUAACUUUUUCUUGUAUGUGUAUAUUUAUUUGUAGUUUUUUGAUCCUUUAUUUAAGAUUAAAAGUUUAAAUUACCUUAGGGAUAMCAGCGUUAUUUUUCCUNANAGUCCNANCCGAANAAAGAGUUNNCNCCCCCG
rnacentral:rRNA from 1 species